rnacentral:rRNA from 1 species
UGGGGAAUUUUGGACAAUGGGCGCAAGCCUGAUCCAGCCAUGCCGCGUGAGUGAAGAAGGCCUUCGGGUUGUAAAGCUCUUUUGUCAGGGAAGAAAUGCUUUGGGCUAAUACCCUGGGGUGAUGACGGUACCUGAAGAAUAAGCACCGGCUAAAUACGUGCCAGCAGCCGCGGUAAUACGUAGGGUGCGAGCGUUAAUCGGAAGUACUGGGCGUAAAGCGUGCGCAGGCGGUUUUGUAAGUCAGAUGUGAAAUCCCCGGGCUCAACCUGGGAACUGCAUUUGAGACUGCAAGGCUAGAGUGGAGCAGAGGGGGGGAGAAUUCCACGUGUAGCGGUGAAAUGCGUAGAGAUGGGGAGGAAUACCGAUGGUGAAGGCAGCCCCCUGGGUUACUACUGACGCUCAUGCACGAAAGCGUGGGGAGCAAACA